UACAGAGGGUGCGAGCGUUAAUCGGAAUUACUGGGCGUAAAGCGUGCGCAGGCGGUUCUCCAAGUCCGUUGUGAAAGCCCCGGGCUCAACCUGGGAAUGGCAGUGGAAACUAGGGGACUGGAAUCUGGCAGAGGGGGGUGGAAUGCCGCGUGUAGCAGUGAAAUGCGUAGAGAUGCGGCGGAACACCGAUGGCGAAGGCAGCCCCCUGGGCUGAGAUUGACGCUCAGGCACGAAAGCGUGGGGAGCAAACAGG
rnacentral:rRNA from 1 species